UGAGGAAUUUUGCGCAAUGGGCGAAAGCCUGACGCAGCGACGCCGCGUGGAGGAAGACGGCCUUCGGGUUGUAAACUCCUGUCAGGGGUGAAGAAACUUCGCAAGAAGCUGACGGUAACCCCAGAGGAAGCCCCGGCUAACUACGUGCCAGCAGCCGCGGUAAUACGUAGGGGGCAAGCGUUGCUCGGAAUUACUGGGCGUAAAGGGUGUGUAGGCGGCUGAUUAAGUCAAGGGUGAAAUCCCGAGGCUCAACGUCGGAACGGGCGUUGAUACUG
rnacentral:rRNA from 1 species